AUGACCGAGCCUGGCUUUAUUGACAGUGUGUCCCCCUCAACUGAAGGACAUGACAUGGAAGGAGUGCUCCGUGGGAAGCAGGAAGUGCAGGGCUGCUCACCUUGUUCUGGAGUCAUUCCUGAGAGCAUCGGUUUACUUCCCGGAGGCUCAGGACUGCACUUCUUCGGAGCUGGGUCCCAGCAAACACAGGGGGAGUUAUCUGAAUGCCAGCUGAUGUUACCUAGAUGGGCUCCCGCAGUGAGCGGUAUCUACACAAGACAAAACGGAGAUCUGGAGAGACUGUCUAACUUGCCAAUGUUUUAACAACAGAACCCGAAUAUUCUGAAUCAAGCCCAUGCUCCUCGGGCUCUUCAAGGACUUUUCAUGGUAGGACUUCACGAUGCGCUAAAAUAGUGGCUCUCACAGUUCUUGUCCCCAGACCAGCAACCUCAACAACACCUGGGAACUUGCUAGAAAGGCAAAUUCGUGGGUCCCACCCCAAAACUCCCAGAAACUCUAGGGUGGGGCCCAGCAAUCUGUGUUUUAACAAGCCCUCCAGGGGAUUCUGAUGCAUGGUAACAUUUGCAAAUCAGUGCUCUAGACUCUAGAGUCUAGAACAACAAUUCCGAGGCAUGGGUGACUGCAUGACAAUCAUCUGCCUGGCUGCCACCCUAAACCGACUAAAUGGGAAUUCCCCAAGAGUGGAGCCCAAGCAUGAGAUUAUGGUUUCAUUCUUUUAAGCUCCACAGGGGUUCAAAUGAUGCAUGCUCAUGGCUGAUAGCCAGUGAACGAGACUAACACCCUUUGCAUUAGGCACAUGUUGAGGUUGUUCCCAUGAACAAAACACUACAGAGAAGGCAGUGGUAGGGAGAAAGGUGUCGGCCUCACAGAUCCUGCCCAAGAACGUAACCAGCUCCUGCACAUGGACCACAUUUCCCCCCAGUACCUGAUUGCAGCCAGUGAUGCUGCCUCUGCGCAUGCAAAGGCUGUGAUUCAGGGACCUGUGUGGGAGGGCAUCAUGCCACGGUUUCAUGAGCAACUGAAAUGGCUCUUGUGAUGUCUCAAUUUGGGGAAAGAAGCCUGUUUGAAUCUGUAGCCAUGGCAGGAAAAGACUGAUGUAGAGAGAGACAAGAGGUCACCAAGUCAGAAGCUCAGCCCAGUUUCCACUGAUAUUCAGCCUUGCAUGGCGUGUCUUCCGAUUCUCCUCAUUGGUUGGGCCGGUGGUUCUCCAACUGUGGUGUGUAGCAGGCUCUCCUGGAGAGCUCAGGGGCCCAGGCUCACGGAAGUGAGAGAAGGCCUGGGCCUCUGCAUUUUUACCAAGAUCCCCAGGGAUUCUGACACCGAGCAAAAUUGAAGACCCAUUGCUGUAGGCCAGGGGCUGGCAUGCUUUUUCUGUGACGAGCCAGAUAAUACAUAUUUUAAGCUUUGUAGACCAUGUGGUCUCUGUUGCAACUACUCAACAAUGCCAUUGUAGCAAGAAAGCUGCCAUGACUAUCAGUGAAUGAACGUAGCUAUGUUUCAAUAAAACUUUAUUUAAAAAAAAAAUCA
rnacentral:lncRNA from 1 species